rnacentral:rRNA from 1 species
UACGUAGGUGGCAAGCGUUGUCCGGAAUUAUUGGGCGUAAAGCGCGCGCAGGCGGUCCUUUAAGUCUGAUGUGAAAACCCACGGCUUAACCGUGGAGGGUCAUUGGAAACUGGGGGACUUGAGUACAGAAGAGGAGAGUGGAAUUCCACGUGUAGCGGUGAAAUGCGUAGAGAUGUGGAGGAACACCAGUGGCGAAGGCGACUCUCUGGUCUGUAACUGACGCUGAGGCGCGAAAGCAUGGGUAGCGAACAGG